AACGCACGAGACCUGCGGACCUGCGAGGGAUCAUUAGUGAACGCCCUCACGGGCUUAUAACUAUUCCAAACCUCUGUGAACCGUGCCCUUCGGGGCUAUUUUACAAACAUGGUGUAAUGAACGUCAUAUAUCAUAACAAAACAAAACUUUCAACAAUGGAUCUCU
rnacentral:misc_RNA from 1 species